rnacentral:tRNA from 1 species
CGUUUUAGAAACAUCAGUGGCCAACAGAUCGCCAGAUCGUUGAGCUGCAUUGGCGGGAUUUCGCCGUCUUCGUUUCUCUUUCUUCGCGGACGAACACGCGCUGGGGCUGCAGGCUUGCAGAUCCCUGGUCCUUGACUGGAUAUGCGUUAGGGGCUUGUAGCUCAGUUGGUUAGAGCGCGCGCUUGAUAAGCGUGAGGUCGGAAGUUCAAGUCUUCCCAGGCCCACCACUUUCAUCGAGUGUGCAUUCGUCUUCUGGUUACGGGGCCAUAGCUCAGCUGGGAGAGCGCGUGCUUUGCAAGCAUGAGGUCGUCGGUUCGAUCCCGUCUGGCUCCACCAGAUGGUUUGAUCACCGAGAUCCUGUGCCGUCGUCCGCGAAACAUCACUUCGCACUUGCUAGUCCGGAUGGACAGUAAGCUGCGUGAUUUCUGACAUCGUAAAGAGGAGAUCGAUCCGAGUUGGAUCGUGCGGAGAAUAUCUGCGCGAGACUUCAUUAUCUCCGGAUCAUUUCGGCGCUCGCGCGCCUUUCAGUGUAGCUCACAAGGCUGCGUCUGAGAGAUGAGCGAGUUGUAAAUGAUCCUUUUAGCGAAGCUUGACCGCCUCGCUAUCGGAACGAUCUUACGAAGCAAGCUGGUCUUUCUAGUCAAUGUCCGGCUGCAGAUAGCGUUCAUCGAGGGCGCGUGCCGCAAGGUAAUUCUGCAGACAACAUUCUGCCGAGUGUGUGGACAUUGAUAAUGAGAGCAAUCAAGUGCCUUAAGGGUGUUCGGUGGAUGCCUUGGCGCUGAGAGGCGAUGAAGGACGUGCUACGCUGCG